GUGGCCCCAAUGAGGACAAAAUCCAAACAGAUCCACCUCAUAAGCACCGGCAAUCCGGCAUUGUUAUCGCUCCUCAGUCGUCACCCAUCACUCAUCAGUGAACACUUGAACACAGUACUCUUCGUCUCAUCGUAGAUUCCAUCCCUGACUGUACACUGUCUCACUAACAAGUACUGAAGCCGCAUAAUACCCAGAUUCUCCUUUAGCUCCACGCACUCGCUAUCCAGAUCCCAAAGAUUUCCGCUUUGCAUCAAUAUCCCAACAAUGGGCGGUACGAAAUCGGCUUGCCAUAGUUCCAGUCUGUGGCUGUCUCCUAACCCUAGUAAGAGAUGGGGCGAGCUUUUCUUUCUUUGCUAUACACCUUUCUGGCUUACUCUCUGUCUGCGCAUUGUCGU
rnacentral:misc_RNA from 1 species